rnacentral:lncRNA from 1 species
CCCCAACUCCAUAUCAAUCGUUCGGACCUUAUUCCUCUGCUAUAUCUACAUGAAGGUUAUUGGGUGUUAUUCUAACUAUUAUGGAUUUCACGACCUGCUGCUGAUCAUGGAUGAGAGAUUCAAGCUAAAGAUUGUCAUACAACAUUCAUCUGAGAACUCGUCAUGUUGUGCGUGAGUUAAUGUGUUGCGCACAUAAAGCUGAUCAUAAUACGAGAAAGGUAAGCAAAAUUGUUUUGAUAAAUGGAUCUAAGACAACGAUAAAAAGUUUGCUU